rnacentral:rRNA from 1 species
UACGAAGGGGGCUAGCGUUGCUCGGAAUCACUGGGCGUAAAGGGUGCGUAGGCGGGUCUUUAAGUCAGAGGUGAAAUCCUGGAGCUCAACUCCAGAACUGCCUUUGAUACUGAGGAUCUUGAGUUCGGGAGAGGUGAGUGGAACUGCGAGUGUAGAGGUGAAAUUCGUAGAUAUUCGCAAGACACCAGUGGCGAAGGCGGCUCACUGGCCCGAUACUGACGCUGAGGCACGAAAGCGUGGGGAGCAAACAGG